UCAGGACGAACGCUGGCGGCGUGCUUAACACAUGCAAGUCGAGCGGAAAGGCCACUUCGGGGUACUCGAGCGGCGAACGGGUGAGUAACACGUGAGUAAUCUGCCUCUGGCUUCGGGAUAGCCACCGGAAACGGUGAUUAAUACCGGAUACGACACGCUCUUGCAUGAGAUGUGUGUGGAAAGUUUUUUCGGCCAGGGAUGUGCUCGCGGCCUAUCAGCUUGUUGGUGGGGUAAUGGCCUACCAAGGCUUCGACGGGUAGCCGGCCUGAGAGGGUGACCGGCCACACUGGGACUGAGACACGGCCCAGACUCCUACGGGAGGCAGCAGUGGGGAAUAUUGGACAAUGGGCGGAAGCCUGAUCCAGCAACGCCGCGUGAGGGAUGACGGCCUUCGGGUUGUAAACCUCUUUCAGCACAGACGAAGCGCAAGUGACGGUAUGUGCAGAAGAAGGACCGGCCAACUACGUGCCAGCAGCCGCGGUAAUACGUAGGGUCCGAGCGUUGUCCGGAAUUAUUGGGCGUAAAGGGCUCGUAGGCGGUUUGUCGCGUCGGGAGUGAAAACACCGGGCUUAACUCGGUGCUUGCUUUCGAUACGGGCAGACUAGAGGCAUUCAGGGGAGAACGGAAUUCCUGGUGUAGCGGUGAAAUGCGCAGAUAUCAGGAGGAACACCGGUGGCGAAGGCGGUUCUCUGGGAAUGUCCUGACGCUGAGGAGCGAAAGUGUGGGGAGCGAACAGGAUUAGAUACCCUGGUAGUCCACACCGUAAACGUUGGGCGCUAGGUGUGG
rnacentral:rRNA from 1 species